GUGCGGGGUGCUAAUAAUGCAGUCGUACGCUUCUUUUUCCACCGGAGCUUGCUCCACCGGAAAAAGAAGAGUGGCGAACGGGUGAGUAACACGUGGGUAACCUGCCCAUCAGAAGGGGAUAACACUUGGAAACAGGUGCUAAUACCGUAUAACAAUCGAAACCGCAUGGUUUUGAUUUGAAAGGCGCUUUCGGGUGUCGCUGAUGGAUGGACCCGCGGUGCAUUAGCUAGUUGGUGAGGUAACGGCUCACCAAGGCCACGAUGCAUAGCCGACCUGAGAGGGUGAUCGGCCACAUUGGGACUGAGACACGGCCCAAACUCCUACGGGAGGCAGCAGUAGGGAAUCUUCGGCAAUGGACGAAAGUCUGACCGAGCAACGCCGCGUGAGUGAAGAAGGUUUUCGGAUCGUAAAACUCUGUUGUUAGAGAAGAACAAGGAUGAGAGUAACUGUUCAUCCCUUGACGGUAUCUAACCAGAAAGCCACGGCUAACUACGUGCCAGCAGCCGCGGUAAUACGUAGGUGGCAAGCGUUGUCCGGAUUUAUUGGGCGUAAAGCGAGCGCAGGCGGUUUCUUAAGUCUGAUGUGAAAGCCCCCGGCUCAACCGGGGAGGGUCAUUGGAAACUGGGAGACUUGAGUGCAGAAGAGGAGAGUGGAAUUCCAUGUGUAGCGGUGAAAUGCGUAGAUAUAUGGAGGAACACCAGUGGCGAAGGCGGCUCUCUGGUCUGUAACUGACGCUGAGGCUCGAAAGCGUGUG
rnacentral:rRNA from 1 species